AUUGAACGCUGGCGGCAGGCCUAACACAUGCAAGUCGAGCGGAUGAAGGGAGCUUGCUCCUGGAUUCAGCGGCGGACGGGUGAGUAAUGCCUAGGAAUCUGCCUGGUAGUGGGGGAUAACGUCCGGAAACGGGCGCUAAUACUGCAUACGACCUGAGGGAGAAAGUGGGGGAUCUUCGGACCUCACGCUAUCAGAUGAGCCUAGGUCGGAUUAGCUAGUUGGUGGGGUAAAGGCCUACCAAGGCGACGAUCCGUAACUGGUCUGAGAGGAUGAUCAGUCACACUGGAACUGAGACACGGUCCAGACUCCUACGGGAGGCAGCAGUGGGGAAUAUUAGACAGUGGGCGAAAGCCUGAUCCAGCCAUGCCGCGUGUGUGAAGAAGGUCUUCGGAUUGUAAAGCACUUUAAGUUGGGAGGAAGGGCAGUAAGUUAAUACCUUGCUGUUUUGACGUUAACAACAGAAUAAGCACCGGCUAACUUCGUG
rnacentral:rRNA from 1 species